UGGGUCAGCGACUUAUAUUCUGUAGCAAGGUUAACCGAAUAGGGGAGCCGGAGGGAAACCGAGUCUUAAUUGGGCGUUAAGUUGCAGGGUAUAGACCCGAAACCCGGUGAUCUAGCCAUGGGCAGGUUGAAGGUUGGGUAACACUAACUGGAGGACCGAACCGACUAAUGUUGAAAAAUUAGCGGAUGACCUGUGGCUGGGGGUGAAAGGCCAAUCAAACCGGGAGAUAGCUGGUUCUCCCCGAAAGCUAUUUAGGUAGCGCCUCGUGAAUUCAUCUCCGGGGGUAGAGCACUGUUUCGGCUAGGGGGCCAUCCCGGCUUACCAACCCGAUGCAAACUGCGAAUACCGGAGAAUGUUAUCACGGGAGACACACGGCGGGUGCUAACGUCCGUCGUGAAGAGGGAAACAACCCAGACCGCCAGCUAAGGUCCCAAAGUCAUGGUUAAGUGGGAAACGAUGUGGGAAGGCCCAGACAGCCAGGAUGUUGGCUUAGAAGCAGCCAUCAUUUAAAGAAAGCGUAAUAGCUCACUGGUCGAGUCGGCCUGCGCGGAAGAUGUAACGGGGCUAAACCAUGCACCGAAGCUGCGGCAGCGACACUCAGGUGUUGUUGGGUAGGGGAG
rnacentral:rRNA from 1 species